UAACGAACCUCCGGCAGCAAACAGGGCUGCCCAAGCCGCACCUGGGGGCUUCCGGAAGUGGGGGCUUCGAGUACCCGCUUUGGGACAACCCCUCUCAGCUUCUCCUCGUUAGUAUAGUGCAGCCCGUGGCAAAGGGGACAACAUCUCAAACGAGCUCUCCAACCUGGAGACGCCAUACAAAGAUCAGACAGGGGGUCUACAUGGCACCCCUUCCCCUCUCUACAGAGGAAAAAGGACUGCAAGCGGUCUAAAAUCCUACCUGCCUCAUGGGGCCACCCCUAACUCACCCAGCAAUAUCGUCGCUCUCCAGCGACACGCUCAGCCCGGCAGAAGAGUCUGUCCUGUCUCGGGGACUCUCUUUCUGCCCCGCCACCCCCCCCCAACAUGAUACAAUUCUGCGGUGGUCUGGAAGCCUACGUUCGCCGUCCACGUGCAUCCAACGAAGCGGGUAGUCGCCCACAAAAGCUUAUGCUCCCGUACGUCCGUUAGUCGAUAAGGUGCCGCAGGACUCUUUGCUACUCUUUUUGGUGCUCCAGACCAGCAUGAAUAUCUAAACUGAAAAAGCAAUAAAAUGAUGUUUCUAGCAACAUGGUAA